UACAGAGGGUGCAAGCGUUAAUCGGAGUUACUGGGCGUAAAGGGCGCGUAGGUGGUUGAUUAAGUUAGAUGUGAAAUCCCUGGGCUUAACCUAGGAACUGCAUCUAAUACUGAAUGACUAGAGUAUUGUAGAGGGUAGUGGAAUUUCCGGUGUAGCGGUGAAAUGCGUAGAGAUCGGAAGGAACACCAGUGGCGAAGGCGGCUACCUGGACAAAUACUGACACUGAGGCGCGAAAGCGUGGGGAGCAAACAGG
rnacentral:rRNA from 1 species